UUGAGAUUGCUUUAUUCUUUAGUUAAAAUUGGUGUCACGAAUAUGUUUCAUGGAAUCUGAGAAUUGUUCCAAACGUAUCAAUAAAGUGCUUCCAAUAAAGUAAAAAUUGGCAAACUGAGGAUUCUGCAUUGAACCUCUUCUAAAAUGGUGAUAAAAGAGCACACAUGUUGAAGAUAAGUUUAGACUUAAUAUAAUCGAGAAACAACUGUUUUUCGUACCAGUCAAGCAACUACUCUCUGACUCAAUGUGCCACACCAUUCACUCACCGAUGUAAUCCAUACACAUAUUCAGUACCUUUUGAAUUUUAUGCUCCCACUUCUCCAUGUGUCGACCCCUUUGUUCCUUGUUGACCCUAGCUUGUCUUGAUAAAACAUCAAGCAACAACAAAAUAUUACACCUGAUACGACAUCAAGCUAUAGAAGAACUAUUAGACCACCCAAAUUAUUGAAGCUUCAGAAUUUGUGUCUGGGUCCAUGCCUAAUAAACUGGAAGAAAACCAAAAGAUACUUAAUGAUAUGAAUCAACUUGGUUAAGCAUGGUCAAAUACAAUGCACGGUGGAAUAUCUACCCUGGAAAACAAAUCUUAGCUGAAGAACUUGACUUAUGGAGUGUAGACGGUUCAGAUCUUUUUUCCUUUUAAUUAACAUGUUUGUUAUUAUAAAGUGGGUAAUUUAUUUGUGCGGUCUAUAAAGUGGGUAAUUCAUAUAGACUAAGACAUUAAAAAGGGGGUAGGUGGUGCAAAUUCAUAGCAAGUUUUAUAUUGGAUGCACCCAAACAACUGUGUGGACACACAAAAAUAAAACAAUCACUUUGAAAGUUUGAAUAGAAAUGUCUACAUGAACAUCAGAUGGUCUAGUGUCUCCACCGAAAGCACUACAGGAACACCUCAUUAACAAUUUAGCAAUGAACGAACUAUUCUAGUAUUUAGACAUGAGAAUACCCUAAUUUAAAAGUCAUAAAAAAUGUUACCACUGGUUUGGGUAUCCUGGAAAUAAAACAGAGGUAAUAAAUUCCUUAUAGCUAAUAAGGUGAACAUAGUAAAUUGAUUACCUCUCGUUUGAUCCCAUGUGCUCUAGCCAAAAAUAGAUCCAAUGGGCAUGAUACCCUAUAAGGAAACAAAUCUAGCAAGGAAACUGAUUAUUAUUAUAUCUAAUUUCCAGCUACCAGUGGUAGGCGCAAAGUGGAACACUAUUACGUAGGUCAACAAAUUUGGGCAGGAGAAAACUGAGAUACUGUGACGAAAAUCCUCGUGACGGAGAUGGAUAACGUCAUGGCAAUACCUAAUGUGUGAUGUUUUCGUGGGUGGCGUCACUGAUUACCGCAAUCGGCGAGGAUAGACGUCACUGAAUCGUUUCAGCCUUUGAGGGCACCUGACUACCCAUUUAUACGAUGGCUUAGUAAUUUCCAUGAUGAACCUAAUAGAGUCGCUGAAUAUUACGAAUGUGCUAUGAUAAAAUUUUCUCAUCUAGUGUCUACCGGUGGGACCCGCUAUAGCUGCUUCAUGGAUUAUUGAGCGGUAGGACAUGCGUACCAGUGUUGGCAAUAAGACCCACCUAGUAUUUUUUAGAGUCUAGUGAGCUCUAUAAUUAUUUUCUUCCAUCUAAUAUAGAUAGGUAAUAGGCAGUGAAAAACUUAUUUUGUUCCAUCUAAUAUAAAUAGAUAGUGGUUGGGCAAAAACAAAAAUACUUGAAUCCAUGCAUUCCUGAGCUGAUGUUAUUUCGUUCUAUCACAAAAAUAAAAACGGAAAUAUAAGUUAACAAGUAAAAGUUUGGUACACGGAGUUUGAACCCGGGACCAUUAUGGUCUGAGAAAAUGGCGUUGCUAAUAUGCUAGAAUUUUAUUUAGAUACUUAUAUGUAAAUUGUGCUAAAAAUAGUAUGCACCAGAAAAAAAAUUAUGGUCCUGGACUAUAUAUAUACACAUACGCGUAUAACACUUUCUAGUAGGUAAGCUAUUUCUUCCCCGGGCGUGUGUGGCUCGAUCAGUUCGUCUGUCCCGGGUUCUAGUCGGCUCGGCGUCACGUCGCGGCGGGGAGAGGCAAGGCACGGCACGGCCGUGCUGGUGGCUAUUGGUAACUUCGUAUUUGAACGGGUGCAACACAGCCCAGCAAAACACCCUUUCUUUAAAAAAAUUAUACGUGGGCUGAAGCCAGCUCAACCGCACAUAUAGCCAGCAAUUUUUUUUCCCUCGUCCAUCUUCUCCUCCCCGAGCGAAAAGCUCUCUAUUAGAUUUGGCUUUCUUUCGAUCGUGCGGCGGCGGCUGCAGAUCGGGGGCAACCAAACGCGACGACGGCCCUGUCCCGUCAGGUUCCUUGAGGGCAGCCCAUUGCAGAAGCUGCUAGUAGCGUCAGGGUCCACCAUGGUGUGCAGCGGCGGACCCAGCAUGCGCCAUUGCCGGACCAGCCUAGUCGCGCGGCGGCGGCGUCCCACCCUAUGUUCAUGACGUGCGUUUUCAGUGCGAGUACACGCGUGCGUGCGUCCUCUGAUCCCUCUCGUGUGAUUGCAGGGAAUACGCUUCUCAAUUCCAUCGGAGCAAAAUGAGGGAGAGGAGCCAUGGUGAUGUGGGUAUUGGCUAUGGCUUCCUUUAGCAGAGCCUUGGGUUCGCCUAAGAUACUCGCCUCGUCGCCUUCGUCAGGUACUACCGCCACAUGGUAUCAUUAACUAAUGAGUCGGGUCGUAGUCGUCUGAUCUUUCACACUUGUCAGUACAUCUUCUUGAUCCUCUAUUUCUUUUCUUAAGUUUUGUCCGUCAUAUUGACAUGGAGCACAGACCACAGGGGUACGCCGGAGUUCCACGAGAGGACUGUAAAGCUCAACCAACAACCUGGGUUAACAUGGGUACGAUGCUCAACUCUUUGUUCUCUGUUUAGGUGAAUUGCUUAUGUGUGGGGAUGGAUUCAGAUAUUAGUUUGUUAUGUCCUCCUUGUCAGCGAGUUCUUAUUCGUCAAUCAUGAGAUGCUUGUAUAAUACUCCCCAGGAUUUGCCAGGUCAGAUGAACUCAUGGAAGCUAGUUUAUACGUGUCACCAAGUUGAAAAUUGUAAUUGAUUGUACCUAUUAUGAUUUAUCUUCUAGAGAAAUUAUUAUGAGAAUCUAGAUAGUACAUCUAAAAUGUGUUAGUAAUUAAAUAGUUAGCUCCAAUGCAAUAUUUUCAUUAUGAUGAUCCUCCCCCAGUACCUGUUCUGAGCUCGUGGCAACUCUGUUUGAGGGAGUGUGAAUAGAUUUGGAAGUGAAUUAUUGUUGUAGAAUUGCAGUUUGAGUUUUAUGAGCGAUUCAACAUGAUUUCGGUAAAUUACUAAUGCAGAACUAAUUUACUACACUUGUUUGUGUUAAUCAAAAGUGAUACUAACUAUAUGUUAAUGCAGAUUACUGUCCAAUCAAGUAGAUACGGCAACUGUAAAGAUCAAAGCCUAAAUAAGUUUUUUAUUCGGCAUGUGACCAUCGCGUAAUUGUAAGAUUUUUUCUGUUGAAAUUGUUGAUCACACUUCCAAUCAAUGUGUGUAAGGACAACAACCUAAAAAGUUCAUGCUUUCUUCACGGUUCUAGGUUGCUUGAAGGUUUCUUCAUUCGUGGCUUUGUCGAAUAUUUUGUUUUUUACACCAUUUGAAAUCCAAUCUAAUAUUUCAGGUGAGCUUUGUUGUUCACAAAUCCAUAUCUUUAGUUCUAUUCAUAUUACUUAUUAGACAAGUACUAACAUGUCUUUGUUGUUGUUUGUUGCAAUGGUAGCUGAUCUUUUGUAACUCAUUCACACUGCUACAUUUAUGUCAGUGUUUCUAACAGGAUCCUUCAUAAGGCAUCUUUCCAAAAGUUGAUACGGACAAAGGAGGAUCAAAUGAACUCUAGUUGCCUUCAAAAAGUCAUGAGAAGAGGUAUCCAACGAAGGUUCACACCAACAAAGUCUCUAUUGAUGAUCUCCAAAAAUAAAAAUGAUGUUGUAUUGGAUGUGUAGCUUUUGUUAUUUUGGAUGGGGAAUGUAAGUGUGAUGUGUACACCGUUUAGAGAGAAGUUGGCUUGUAAUGUGAUGUGAAAAAUGGUCAAUGGAAAGAUGGGCUUAAAAACACCACAAGUCCAAAAUAUGUUUUGUAUUGAAGCAGGCCAAACUAAUAUUAGAGGAAAAAGGUAAAAAGAAAAUAAAAUUUCAACUGCUCCAUAAAAAGGUGGGCUCCACUAUUGGGUUCCAAGUUGACUGCGGGCCACAAAAAAAUUAGAUCCAAAAAAAGAAAAUUAGCUGAAUUAUUGGGCUUGCCCCAUUUGAAAACCGAGUGCGCAUUAGCCCACCAUAAAUCUAGUGACGACAGCUUCUUCACCGAAGGUCCUAUAUAAGAUGACGUUUUUUGCACGCUGCGUCACUAUGAAUAAUCUAUGACGGGGAUUCUGUGACGAUGCUAGUGACGCCUGAAAAAUGUCACACAUGAGUAUUUUGUGACGUUUUCAGCUAUUACAUGACAUUUCUUAGCUCGUCACAGUAGGUCCAAUCUCUUGUAGUGUAUAUAGGUUAUGAAUGUCAGGCAAAGUGUUUUAAGUUUAUAUGAUUUGCUCAAAUAUAAGUUGCAGUAUAUUUAACCAUCACAUUCGCGUAGAUGCAAGAAGCUACUGUUGUCAUAGCUAGAUACUAAACAGAAAAUUAUUAUGAACUAAGAAUUCCAAGAUACUCAUUCAGCUAACAGAGAUAUGCAUUAACAUAUUUGAGCGCUACAACCGAAAAGAGCUACUUACUCAAGCAGUGAUGGAAAAACGUUAGAGAUGACCAAAUUGCGUUCAAACAAAUUUAUAAUGGAAGUAUAAUGGUUAUAUAUAUGAAUGAGAUUGGGCCCACAAACAAUGUAUAUGAUUUGCUUGCUCUGUAAGUUACAGUUCAUAUAAGGGUGCCUAGAUGCAGAUCCUACUAUUGUAACAUUCAUCGCCAAAAUAGGAAAUGCUUAUUGGCUAGGCCUUGCAGUGUAUUAUCUACCUACAAGGUAUACAACUCCAGCAUAAUUGGCACAUGAUGAUCUCAUGAGAGGAGAAAAGGACACAUACCAGCAAGGCCAGAUGAGACGCCCAGCCCACGCAAUCUUGUGCUUGAGCGUGAGCUCGUAUGAGAUGCUAG
rnacentral:lncRNA from 1 species